AUUGAACGCUGGCGGCAGGCCUAACACAUGCAAGUCGAGCGAGCGGCGGAAGGGUGAGUAAUGCCUGGGAAUUGCCCAGUCGAGGGGGAAAACAGUUGGAAAAGACUGCUAAUACCGCAUACGAUUGGACUCCCCAGGGGGGAUGAGCUUGUGGGUGGGGUAAUGGCUCGCAAAGGCGACGAUCCCUAGCUGGUCUGAGAGGAUGAUCGGCCACAAUGGAACUGAGACACGGUGCAGACUCCGACGGUAGGCAGCAGUGGUGAAUAUUGCACAAUGGGGGAAACCCUGAUGCAGCCAGGCCGCGUGACUGACGAAGGCCGUCGGGUUGUAAAGCACUUUCAGCGGGGAGGCGUUACUCGCAGAAGAAGCACCGGCUAACGCCGGGACAGCAGCCGCGGUAAUUC
rnacentral:rRNA from 1 species